GAAUAGAAAACUGUAUGUAAUUUUCUCUUGCCAGUGUUCUGCCCGUCGUAAGGUGGACCAACUUUACUGCCCACGUGGGGCUCUGUAUAGGGCUAGCUGCAAUAAGAGCAUGCAAAAGCAGUGUGACCCUUACCACAGUGUUGUGUCUUAUCAACGGAGUCACUGUUCUUGAGAUAAAAAAUAUUUGAGAAAAAAUUUAUAUCUGUCGCUAACACACACCUGCUAUUUUUCUGGUCAUUAUUCCCUAAAAUUGCAGUAGGACAGAAGUUUGUCCAGCCUUGCAUUGUAAACCAUGCUACUCAGACCCUAGAGACAAUGGAGAGCACAGGGGGGACUGUGUUGUAGGUUACAAAUACUACAUGCACACGGGCUUGGGUCUGUGUAAGGGUGGGGGGUCCCCAGAACUAAUCCCACACUGACACUCAGGGAUGCUACACUGGGUGGGCACGAUCAAGAGAGACAGCAUCCGUUGCAGUAGGAGAGACCUGUAAGCUUCCACGCCUGUGUCCUGCAGUUACCCUGGCCCCUUCUUCAUUCUUCUUAUACAAGCUCAUGCUUCUCUUGAGAACUAGGAACUUCGAGUCCACUCGGACUGCGGUUUUUAUCACCUGGGGUCAGACUAUUAUGCGAGAAAGAGAGACACUGACCCGACCUGCUUCUGAUGACUGCCUGGGAUGAAGAGCUCCGCCCCUCCUUGAAGGGUCACCUGACUGGGUUCCUGUUUGCUGACCGGAGUUCAAAAUCUUUGGGUCUCACAAAAGUCUUCCCAACGCUUCUGCUGAAACCUUUAGAGGUAUAAGCCACUUCGGAAGGGCUCAGGUCUAGCUUAGUUUCUGAUCUGAAGACAAAUACAUCAGGGCCCUGGUCUUCCUGGGCUGGAAGUCACAGCACAUGCAGGAAGGACACUGCCUCGCAGCGUGCCCUGACGUGCGUCCUUCCUUCCCACGCACACAGACACUGGCCUCACAGCUAUACAUGGACCCUCCUCCCUCUCCACCAUUCAGUCUCCUGAGGCACAUAAAGGACACUGGUGGUAGCUUGCACAUACUCCUGAUUGCGUGUAUCCCCAUGACCUACCUAGGACUUCAAGUGUCAGAACUGCAUGAGGAAUGAUUUCUUGGAUCCCAAAAUAUAUUUGCAAGGAGAGGCAGGGAGGGUAUCACAGGUCCAGCUGGCAAUCAAAUGGUAAUUUUCUCUCCACCUGCAACUGUCCUCCUUCAUACAUGUCUGCUUAUGUGACAGUGUCGUCUGACCCUAAUACUACUGUAAUGACAUUUGACUGCAACCUGUAAUACCAACCCAGGCACUCACCUUUCCAUAAGGCCACCUCAGCCAUAAAUCAAACUGCUUUCUUCUCCCUCCUAAUCCUGGCACCCCUGUCAGGUACAAGAAUCUGGGAUUGCUGGCUUCCAGCACAGCAGUGGACUGAUACUCCUCGUCAGGUCCACCCUAUCCAGCACUCCUUAAAUACGGCCCUAAGCUGCCUCCAUUAUUUCUGAUGCCAAGUCUGCCCUUGAAGACAUCCCUUGUGCUACUGUGGGGGAACUGGUGCUAUAUAAUAGGGCCUGGAUUGGAAAGGGUACACAGUAAGCCAGAUCAGGACUGGGGGAGGGAGACAUGAGCUAUGGGUAAGUGCCAAGUGAGUGGCAAAGGACUGAGCCUUUUUCCUCUGCUGUGCUGUGCUGAGCCCAAUGACCAACUUGGAAGGUCUAGCCGUGGUGGCGGCUACCACACAGGAAGGGAGGAUGACACAGAAAAAGUCAUUUGAAGGGGAGAAAAGAGAACAGGAUUCAAUUCUGUCAAAGUUUUACUCUGCUCCCGAGGCACAUGCUAGGGAAGCCAGACACCUUUCAGAGAAGUCUCGACUCCAUGGCACCUCCCACAGGAGUCUCUUGCUCAUCCUCCCAAGUAAGAGCUGAGCCUUUUCCAUACCUCCUUCAGGUCUCGUAUUGCACAGGACAAAAUAUUUCCCUGUCAGCACCACUGCUUUCUCUGCCAGCUUUGAGCUCUGGAGGAUACCCAUCCUGGUGUCUGAGGUCUACGGGACACUAGACUAACAGAUGCUCUGGGUCUGCCAAUGUCUGUGCCAUUGCAAACAGGAAACAGAAGAGAGGAAGUGAAAAGUCAACCCUCCAGGUGUGCCACCUCACCAAGAUCCUUUGUGAAGGCACUCAGAAGUACAUGACCCAUGAACACCCCCGGAGAGCUGGGGGGAGGCUGUGUGUAACGUACGCCUCCACCCUUGGAGUGCCUCACCAGCACGAAGGGAGUCUUGUUAAAAGUGGGUUGCCUCAGGAGACAGCAGAGAACAGUAAGGAGUUAGGCUGAGCGGAGCCAGACCUACAUUGGACUAUUUGUUAAAGCAUCAGUCUCUUUUUGCUGAAGCCAGCAGGGGCUGAGUCUUACAGGACAUCCAUGUAUAACAUCUUCAUGAUACACUGAUGGAGGUCACAAAGGAAUCAGCAUUACAGGAGAAAAGCCAUGCCGUCGGAGUCACGGGGAAGAGAUCUGAGCUGAAUGGGCUGUUUCUUAUCAUCGGUCUUGGGACAUCAUUCAAUAGUAAAGCAUUUUCUUAGCAGAUAUAUAUUGUAUAACAGUUUCCUCCAAGACUAAAACAUUCCAUCCUGCAGGACACUCCUUAAGCAAGAAGGUAAACAACUCAAAAUAGCUUCAGGAAGUCCCUGAAAGUGAGUGGAUUCACUAGGCUCCUCCCUGCCAGAGUAAGAAAUAAAAGCUGAGAGUCCUCAGAGGGAAGAACCUGAGUUGCAAAGAUUCUCAGAGGAGCUGAGCUGCAAAGAUGAUGAGACCAGACCAGCAGUCUGGAAGAAGCGGAAUCCAGCUGAACUGCCGGGAAGAGGGUUAGACCAAUAGAAAAGAAAAGACGCUCUCCAACCUGCUGUACUACCUGCAGGCUGUGCAGUAUGCCCCGGGUUUGCCAGAUUUUGUGAGCUGUCCCCCAUGCUAGGGUGGGCGUUAGUCAUACAGUUGUCUUUGAGUCAUUUCUGCUUCAGUAAGUAACCCCUCAUCCAUAUUCCUGUAAGUAAUCCCAAUAAACUCAUUCAUUCAGCAGAUUGGA